CUGAUGAAACGUUGUGACAUGUCCAGAGGCCCACAGAAAAUCAGUGUCGGACCUCAAGCUGGCCCCACUGUGGCAGCCCUGGAACACUCAGAGUUGCUCUUCUUUGUAAUCAGUUUCCUUGCUCUGUGGCUUCUGCAACCAGGGCUAUGUUCCUCAAAGGAAGAGAACAGUCACGCCUCAUGAUCAGCUGAGUGUGUGAGUUAAGCAGCAGAAUCAUGAAGACAUUCCUGUCCUGCUGGAGUUGACUGCCUGUGUGUAGAGUUGCACUUUACCCCUCUACUCCUUUUCCAUCACCUCCCCUUCCUAUCCACAACUCUCACCAUGAAAACAGUGCAGAGGCGAAUUUCCAGACUGGACGCUUCCAAGCCAGCUUACCUGUACCCUUAACAGAUGUGCCAGUUGGGAAACUAUUUCGUGUUUCUCCUUAAACAAACUCCUUAAUCCUUCCUUAAGCAAUGAAAACAACUGAUUUCUCUUAGUCAACACAAUAAAAACCUUCAGAAAGUAAUUACAAAAUUGCUUGCAGGUAACAACCUAUAAGACCUAUAAGAAAUGUCCUCUUUGUGUUAAGAACGCAAUCUCUUUGGUAUAGUGAUAUGAUCUCCAAAAUUACAUUUGCAACAUCAGGCAAUGAAAC
rnacentral:lncRNA from 10 species